rnacentral:rRNA from 1 species
AACGAACGCUGGCGGCAUGCCUAACACAUGCAAGUCGAACGAGACCUCCCGGUCUACUGGCUCACGGGUUCGUGACGCGUGGGAACCUGCCCUUAGGUUCUGACUAACUCUUCGAAAGGGGUGCUAAUACCGGGUAAUAUCUUCGGACAAAAGCCUUAUCGCCUUUGGAUGGGGCCGCGUUGGAUUAGCUAGUUGGUAGGGUACAAGCAUACCAAGGCGACGAUGCAUAGCUGGGUGGCGAGGAGGCUCAGCCACACUGGGAAUGAGACACGGCCCCGACUCGGAGGGAGGGGAGCGGUGGAGAACAUUAGAGAAGGGGGGGUGGUGUGAUGCAGCAGUGUGGGGGAAGAGGUGAAGGCGGUAGUGUUGUAAAGCUGCUUUAGCCGGGACGAUAAUGACGGUACCGAGAGAAGAAGCACCGGCUAACUACGUG